rnacentral:rRNA from 1 species
UACGGAGGGUGCAAGCGUUGUCCGGAUUCACUGGGUUUAAAGGGUGCGUAGGUGGGCAGGUAAGUCAGUGGUGAAAUCUCCGAGCUUAACUCGGAAACUGCCGUUGAUACUAUUUGUCUUGAAUAUUGUGGAGGUAAGCGGAAUAUGUCAUGUAGCGGUGAAAUGCUUAGAUAUGACAUAGAACAUCAAUUGCGAAGGCAGCUUACUACACAACGAUUGACGCUGAGGCACGAAAGCGUGGGGAUCAAACAGG